rnacentral:rRNA from 1 species
AUUGAACGCUGGCGGCAUGCCUUACACAUGCAAGUCGAACGGUAACGGGCCUUCGGGUGCCGACGAGUGGCGAACGGGUGAGUAAUACAUCGGAACGUGCCCGAUCGUGGGGGAUAACGAGGCGAAAGCUUUGCUAAUACCGCAUACGAUCUACGGAUGAAAGCCGGGGACCGCAAGGCCUUGCGCGGGCGGAGCGGCCGAUGGCAGAUUAGGUAGUUGGUGGGAUAAAAGCUUACCAAGCCGACGAUCUGUAGCUGGUCUGAGAGGAUGAUCAGCCACACUGGGACUGAGACACGGCCCAGACUCCUACGGGAGGCAGCAGUGGGGAAUUUUGGACAAUGGGCGCAAGCCUGAUCCAGCCAUGCCGCGUGCAGGAUGAAGGCCUUCGGGUUGUAAACUGCUUUUGUACGGAACGAAAAGCCUUCUUUUAAUACAGGAGGGUCAUGACGGUACCGGAAGAAUAAGCACCGGCUAACUACGUG